rnacentral:rRNA from 1 species
GAUGCCGGAUACCUGCGACAGGACGGAAAGACCCCAUGGAGCUUUACUGUAGCUUGACAUUGGGUCUUGGUACUACAUGUACAGGAUAGGUGGGAGGCUUUGAAACCAGGACGCCAGUUUUUGCGGAGCCAUCCUUGGGAUACCACCCUUGUAGUACUGGGACUCUAACCAUAGGCCAUGAAUCUGGUCUUGGGACACUGUCAGGUGGGCAG